GUUCAACCAUCAGCACUUUCUACAGAGCCUGAAAACAAAAUGUUUCAAUAUGAUUGGAAUACACAGUGUUCAGAAAAUGUCAUAAAAUGGGAAAUAAAACCCCAGCAUUUUAUUUAAUAGAAUUAUUCAAAGGCUUCUUUAUAAAUUUUGUUUACACAGAAAUUCAUUUAGGUCAAGUUGAGUAAAUCAGCAAAUUAGAUACGCUGGUCCCUGACUUAAUCCCUCCGUGUUUUAGAAUUCUAAACUUUCUGCCCAAUUGGCUGGGUCUGCCUGUGGAUUUCAAAUAUCUCACCAUGAAGAACAGCCAGAAGAAAACUGUAAAUGUGAUCCUCCAAGAGAGGGAAAGAGUGGAAGGUUUGCACGACUGUGGAUCCAACAAAGCUUCUGGAACGAAAUGUGGCCUUAUGAAUAACUUCGAGAUUGUCUUCCCAAACUCUCCCCCACACACACUUUCUUUCUGCUUCAAGGAGAGGACAGCUGGAGCCAGACAAACUCAGAGACAUUACAUCAGGGAUAAAGAAUUAUUAAAGAAAUGGAGGAGGAGAGAAAAGUCGAGAGGAAACCUCAAUAUAGCAUCUUUAAGUGUUUUGUCUGCUUAAAAAAAGCAAAGCACCGGAACAUAGAACCAGUAUUAUUCCCUGGCCUGGAUGUACCACAGUUUGUUUAACUGUUUGCUCACUGAAGAACAUAGAAAUGCAUACGGUUUACACCACAAUUGACAUUUUUCAAUGGAGUAGAGGUCAUUUUUGGUCCCACACACCAGCUCUAUGUGCUCCAUGCCUGGAACGCCAACCCAUGGUCCAAGGACACAUCUUGUUUGCUCCCUGGAUACCAGAGUCAUCUUUCAGCAUGCUAUACUAUGAAGUGAUGCUUCAAACAGGUCUCUGGACUACCGUCACCUGCCAUCACCUCCACAUUGUAGCAUUAACCAGCAGAGGACAACUGUGCCAUCUUCUAUUCCAGAGACCAGGUGACAAGAUGCAAAGGCAUGAGGGAGCUGGCACUAAAAAGGGAAGGAGUACGACCCACUCAUGAGAAACUCUGAUGGAAUCCAAAAGUCAGAACUUCAAGACACACAAGCUCUUGCUAAUGCAAACACAAGAGCAUGGAGAGAGUCUCUGGUGGUUCACCUCUGUUCUCACGGCUUGUCUCUGAUUUCACCGGAACAGACCCUGGCUGUCCUAUAGCAGAGGACAAGAGCAGGGAAGCCUGCACACCAGCAGAGUGUGUUUUCAGAAUUACAGUCAACAUGUCCUUUUGAAAAUGUACACACAGAAUGGGUGACAGUGUAUGGCUACUCCCAUCACAGUGUCACAGCAAGGCCCUGGGAUGAGGGGCUGGCUGUCUGCAGUGAGCAUGGCCCAGGAGGAAGGUCUGAAGGGAC
rnacentral:lncRNA from 1 species